UACGGGGGGGCAAGCGUUGUUCGGAAUUACUGGGCGUAAAGGGCGCGUAGGCGGCCUGCUAAGUCGGAUGUGAAAUCCCUCGGCUCAACCGAGGAACUGCAUCCGAUACUGGCGGGCUUGAAUCCGGGAGAGGGAUGUGGAAUUCCAGGUGUAGCGGUGAAAUGCGUAGAUAUCUGGAGGAGCACCGGUGGCGAAGGCGGCAUCCUGGACCGGUAUUGACGCUGAGGCGCGAAAGCUAGGGGAGCAAACGGG
rnacentral:rRNA from 1 species